GAAUAUUGAUCAUUUCUGGCAUGGCUGUGAGGAAGGGACAGAGACAGGGAACUGUCUUUUGCUUCGUUGUAUGUUCUCUGGCACCUACUGCGACGCUUGGCACUCAGUAAGCACUCAGUGAUGUUUCCUUGGGCUGGCCUCUGCCCCUUGACAUGCUUCUUCUCAUGUCCACUCAAACAAGGUAGCAGCUAUAAGAAAAAAUGGUCUGAAACUGACUUCCGAGGAAACCAAACUCAAAAGUCCUUCUUUGUGAAAUGAUUUUACAAGAUUAAAGACUGAUGACCACCUGGGAAAAUUCCUAAGAACUAACUUUAAUUGAAAAAGAAAACACUGGUAGUCUGCAAAUUUCCUGAACCCCUCUAAGUCUGUUUCCAUCCCAAGAUGGAUGGUAGAGUCUUCUGCCCUCUCCUUAGCCAUUCAUUGUAGUUCUCAGGAAGCAAUAGUCAGUCAAAAAUGCUGCCUGGAAGCCCAAGAGAGGAAAAAUAAGAGCUGCAAAAUCAUAAUCACCCAGUCUCAUAAGUUAUCUCUGGUUAAUACUGUCUGAGGAGAAGCAGGGGAAACUUCAUAUGGGCCAUAUUAUCAAGUGACUUCAGAGACCAAAAAGUGACAUUCAUUUACUGCUGAAGAUUAGAAACUGCAUCCUGCUUGCCUACCUCCGUGAUAUGCAGCUCAGCCUCCAUCCUGAAUAAUAAGAUGUCGUCUUCUACUGAAAAUGGAGAUGCAACUGGUGGAAAACAAAGCGAGGAGAAAACAUACAAAAAGACUACAUCCUCUGCCAUUAAAGGAGCUAUUCAGCUGGGAAUAGGAUACACAGUGGGUAAUCUCACUUCCAAACCUGAUAGAGAUGUUCUCAUGCAAGACUUUUAUGUAGUGGAAAGUGUAUUUCUACCGAGCGAAGGGAGCAAUCUCACCCCAGCUCACCACUACCCAGACUUCCGAUUUAAGACAUAUGCUCCACUAGCAUUUCGGUAUUUCAGAGAACUUUUUGGGAUCAAGCCUGAUGAUUACUUGUUCUCAAUCUGCAGCGAGCCUUUAAUAGAGUUAUCCAACCCCGGUGCCAGCGGAUCUUUAUUCUUUGUAACGAGUGAUGAUGAGUUUAUCAUCAAAACAGUUCAGCACAAAGAAGCUGAAUUCCUACAGAAGCUGUUGCCAGGCUAUUACAUGAAUUUAAACCAGAAUCCACGGACCCUAUUACCAAAAUUCUAUGGAUUAUACUGUGUCCAGUCGGGAGGCAUAAACAUUCGAAUUGUGGUCAUGAACAAUAUUUUACCACGCUCAAUGAAAAUGCAUUUCACCUAUGACUUAAAAGGCUCUACCUACAAACGGAGAGCAUCAAGAAAGGAAAGAGAAAAGUCCAAUCCUACUUUUAAAGACUUGGAUUUCUUGCAAGACAUGCAUGAAGGAUUGCAUUUUGAUACCGAAACCUACAAUGCACUGAUGAAAACGCUUCAGAGAGACUGCCGGGUUUUGGAAAGUUUCAAAAUAAUGGACUACAGUCUGUUGCUGGGAAUCCAUGUGUUAAACCAUACUCUGAAAGAAAAGGAAGGGGAAAGCUCUCAGAAUGCAGCGGAUGCUAAGAGACCUGGCGCACAGAAAGUCCUCUACUCUACUGCGAUGGAAUCCAUACAGGGUCCUGGCAAGUCUGGAGACUCCGUCACCACAGAGAGUACAAACACAAUGGGAGGUAUUCCAGCUAAGAGUCAUAAAGGAGAAAAGCUACUUCUGUUCAUGGGCAUCAUCGAUAUUCUACAGUCAUAUCGGUUAAUGAAGAAGUUAGAACAUUCCUGGAAAGCACUUGUUUAUGAUGGGGACACUGUAUCAGUACAUAGACCAAGUUUUUAUGCAGACAGAUUUUUAAAGUUUAUGAAUUCCAGAGUUUUCAAAAAAAUCCAAGCUAUGAAGUCUUCACCUUCAAAGAAACGGUGUAAUUCUAUUGCUGCUUUGAAAGCCACCUCCCAAGAAAUCGUGUCAUCUGUUAGCCAGGAAUGGAAGGAUGAAAACAAUGAUCUCCUUACUGAAGGACAAAGUUUUAGCAGCUUAGAUGAAGAAGCAUUGGGUUCCCAGCACCGGCCUGAUCUUGUGCCAAGUACUCCAUCUCUGUUUGAAGCAGCUUCCUUAGCAACUACAAUUUCUUCAUCCUCACUGUAUGUUGAUGAACAGUGCCCACGUGAUGGAACCCUCCUUUAUUCCAACAGUAAAGGGAUACCGUCGAGUUCAACGGUCACAUUAGAAGACAGUGCCAUCUACCUGACUUCUGAACAGAGCACCCUGGAAAUUCAGGAUGAUAAUGCUUCAGUGUUGGAUGUCUAUUUAUGCUUGAAUUGAAAAAAUGCAGGUGACCGGGUGAAAAGGAAGCCAGGACUAUAUGCCCUCUCCCACAAAGUAACAAAAAUGAAACGAAAAUUCAAACAGAUGGAUGAGGAGUCAUUCACCUAAUUUGCUGAAGAGCAUUUCCUCCACUCCAGAGUUAAAGAGAACUUAGUUGAGCCCCCAUAAGAAAAAGAGUAAUAAUCGACUGGAGUGAUCCAUACCUUUGAAAGCUGUCCGGGGAGCCUUGAACCAUAGAAACGAUAGCUUAGACUCGGCAGAUGUGAUGUGAAAAAUACCACACUUUAUUGUCAUUUGCUGUUGCUUGCUGAACUGUGAAAAACCACGUAAACUAUAUUUAAGCUGCUUUCUGUCUUAUUGCCAAUCACCUUUUUGAACUUGAAAGUGAUAUUUUCCUAUCGACUCUAUAGUUAUUUCAUCUGCAUGUAUUCAGUGAUUUUUGUGUAAACCAAGUAUGUAGUCAGCUUAUCUAUUUAAAAAAAAAUCUGUCAACACGUGGUGAGUAAAAGUGUAAAUUAAUUCUGCUUUUUUCCAAACUAUAAUCACCUAAGUCUACGUUGUUGGAAGUCUAUAUUUCGUACAAGGUUAAUGUCAUAUGUCUGCACAUUCUUUGUGGAAAACUAGCUUCUAUAAAGGUAUCUUCACUGUUUACUAGUGAAAUGAGAGAUAAAAAGCUAUUUAUAACAAGGCCUUAUGUUGUGUACAUACGUUGUCUUUGAAAUACUUGUGAUUUCGUUUUAUUGCUUGUAAAAGAGAGUCUAUAAUUUAUUUA